rnacentral:rRNA from 1 species
GACGAACGCUGGCGGCGUGCUUAACACAUGCAAGUCGAACGGAAAGGCCCUGCUUUUGUGGGGUGCUCGAGUGGCGAAAGGGUGAGUAACACGUGAGUAACCUGCCCUUGACUUUGGGAUAACUUCAGGAAACUGGGGCUCAUACCGGAUAGGAGCUCCUGCUGCAUUGUGGGGGUUGGAAAGUUUCGGCGGUUGGGGAUGGACUCGCGGCUUAUCAGCUUGUUGGUGGGGUAGUGGCUUACCAAGGCUUUGACGGGUAGCCGGCCUGAGAGGGUGACCGGCCAAAUUGGGACUGAAAUACGGCCCAGACUCCUACGGGAGGCAGCGGUGGGGAAUAGUGCACAAUGGGCGGAAGCCUGAUGCAGCAACGCCGCGUGCGGGAUGACGGCCAUCGGGUUGGAUACCGCUUUCGCCUGUGACGAAGCGUGAGUGACGGUAAUGGGUAAAGAAGCACCGGCUAACUACGUG